rnacentral:rRNA from 1 species
AUUGAACGCUGGCGGCAGGCCUAACACAUGCAAGUCGAGCGGAGCGGCGGACGGGCGAGUAAUGCCUAGGAAUCUGCCUGGUAGUGGGGGAUAACGUCCGGAAAAGGGCGCUAAUCCCGCAUACUAUCCGAUGAGCCUAGGUCGGAUUCGCUAGUUGGUGGGGUAAAGGGCUACAAAGGCGACGAUCCGUAACUGGUCUGAGAGGAUGAACAGUCAAACUGGAACUGAGAGACGGUCCAGACUCCUACGGUAGGCAGCAGGGGGGAAUAUUGGACAAUGGGCGAAAGCCUGAUCCAGCCAUGCCGCGGGUGUGAAGAAGGUCUUCUGAUUGUAAAGCACUUUAAGUUGGGAGGCGUUACCAACAGAAUAAGCACCGGCUAACUUCGUGCCAGCAGCCGCGGUAAUUC